CGUCCUAAUUGUUUCCCAAUUCCCAGCCAGUGCCACAACCCUUUAGUUGCCGGUUGGGUCACACGUGAAAUCAAUCAGACUUGUCUCUCUCACGCGUUGUGGCCUCCAUCUUGUCUUGUGCUAAUAAAUUGUGUAUCACGUCUUUCUCACGGCUUGGCAAUUUCAUUAUGGGUGCGUCUUUCUAACUAUUUCAGUUUAAAUUUCUUUGAUUUUGAUGAAAUUUUGUUCUGGGUUUUCAGGGAUAUAAUUAAUAUUUGUUGAGUUUUACAUGUUUUGGAUGUACUGGUUUUCGUUGGGAUCGACAAUGCAUGGUGAAGGGAGGGCAUAUACUCAAAGAUUGAGCCAAAGCUUGCUUUGGUUGAGGUACAGCUGCAAAACGAAGCUUUCUUAUAGAAAUAAAACUCUAAAAUCUCUUAUCUUGGUAAUGAUUGAUUUUCAAGCUGCUGAAAGGCAGAGACUUGAGUAACCUGCUUCAGAAGUUGGUUUGGAACCCUUAUAUUAACAACAAUCUGCACUGCUAUGAUCUCGCAAUGGAGCUAAGUAAUAGCACUUUGGAAGCUCUUCCAUAAAACUAUACUGAGCAGGUUAACUUUGAAGAUACAUGCAAAGGUUUUUUCUAGAGCUUGCAAAGGAAGCUGUGCAUCAAACUGUCAGUGUUAGUUUUGGAGAUCCGGAGUGCAUGAUUUACUUGGUGAAGCUUUAUCAGAAGGUCAAGAGAGCUUUGCAUGUUCUUGAUGGAGCCAUCCUUGUCAUUUGUAGCGUUGGUGGUGUACAGAAGUCAGUCAAUUACUGUUGAUCAUCAAAUGAAAAGAUACGAGGUUCCAAGAAUUGCAUUUACAAACAAACUUGAUCGAAUAGGAGCAGAUCAAUGGAAAGUUCUGAAUCAGAGGAACUACAUGCCGAAGAGGAAGUUCAUGGUUCCUCAAUAGCAAUUGCAAUGCGGAAGGAAAUUUCAUGCGACUGAACAGCAAUUGCAAAGCAAGUUGUAAUAUAUUGGGCCUGAACAGCAGGGCAGAAUGACAGCUUAAGAAUCUCAUGUUAUUAAAAUACCAAUUGACUUGCAGAUGAGAUAUAUGUAGCUUACCUGUGAAAUCAAAAAUUUGUUAGUCAUGUUCGAUUUGAAUUGAAUUAGUACUAGUUUAUUAAAAAAUGUUGAGCCCUAUAAUAUUUAUGUAAGGUAUUGAAUGUACCUUAUGGCUUAUUGAAAAGCUUAAGAGUUUACUGCA